UCUAAGCUGUGUUAAGCAGAUGUUCUCGCCUAAAAACCUGGGAUUAGAGCUGAGAGAUUAUGAUUCUAACUGGACUGGUUUCUUAAGCAAAAGAGACAUAGACUCAGGAGCUAUGGUACAUCCACCUACUAUGAUGAAGGAGAAAAGGAAAAAGACCAUCUGGGGACACAGAAUGAAGCAUGGAGAGGCAGAGACCAGAAAUGGUCAAUGUGCUAAGAGGAUAUGAGAUUGAAACUGCUGGCACCCAGCUCUCCCUGCCACAGGACAGAGAACGCAGCCAAGGCAUAAAGGGAAGCAGAGCUCUGAGAAAUGGAAUAAGAGCGAUCUGAUGACAUUGUUUGAGCCCCUGAGGUCAGCCCCACCUGAGAGUUUGGAAAACGCUGUUUCGGAUCAGAAAUCUGCAGUAUUAAGGAAGGGGAAAAGCCUUUCUAUUCAGACUGGAUCCAGAGAAGAGAAGUACAUCCGUGAUGGCCAGCCUAGUAGCGCUGGCUAGAAUCAAUGCCCCUUCCUGCUCAAAUCAAGGAGGGUUCUGGAUUUAGAAUCAGCACAGGAAACAGUCCUUUCAUCCUACUGCCUCAUCCGCAGUCACUGAGCACCGGCAUGAUGAAUCCUUACCCUCCACCACCCUGUCUCAUCAGCAAGCUUCUAGUGCCCUCUCUGUGUCCUUCCUUCUGAUUGCCCUGUCCUCUUGCCCUGAUGCCUCCCCAAAUGUUCACGCUAUGAGAGAACAAGUUCUGUCUGUAGACCUGGAUUGCCACCAGAGAACCAGUCUGAUCUCUCCCUGUGUCCACCCUUUCUAUGGGUGAAAGAAGGUCUUCCUUCCUAUGGGAGUGGCAGAGAUGCAGGAAAGGGGCUACAAGCUGGGCCUGUGUCCCUCGAAGAGAGCUGGAGAGCUGGGGCUGGAAACUAGCGUUUUGUUGCACAUCCAGCAAGUUAGGCCUCAGGAACACUGUCUGGGAGCCUGGGGCAAAGGGGUCCAGCCUGCUGUUAAAGUCUGGCUCUUCUCUGCACCAAGGUAAAUAUCUGAAUUUGGGAUGGAGCUUGACCAUGUAGGGGACAAUACAAGUUGGGAGAGAAAGAGUGGGUAGGAAACCAGCUUCUGUCUUCAUCUUCAAGAUCUUGGAGAGCAGGAAAACCCAUCCUAAAUGGUUCUACUCCUUGACCAGCUUGGCUAGGCAGAUGGAGGACGUGGUCCUUGGAUUCUGAGUGCAGGAGAAAUAAGGUUAGUCAUAGACUGAAGCCUGGGUAAUAGUGAAGGAAGAACAGACUGUUGAGAAUCGACUGAAGUUAGCAGGGGAGAAAUCUCCAAUAAGACUAUGUGUGUGUCCAUGUCACCUGGGUGGUGUGGGGUUUGGCCUAGGCUGCCUUGAGGAUCCUGAGGUGUCUAUCUGUCUGUCAAUGCUAUGUCUGUGUGGAGGGCAGGGGCUGCAGUUCAUAAAGGGCAGGUAGAAUGUGUUUUGGCAAAAUUCUGCCCUCUGUUCAGAGAGGUAUUACCUGACGGUCCUUGGGGAGGGGAUGGAUAAUGACCAUGUGGCUGGAAUUCUGACGGAGGAAAGAAGGUCUCGCCACUGACCUUCUGUAGUGAGAGUACAAGCCAGUGAGUGUGCUUUGAUUCUGGAGGUGUCAGCCACAGAAUAGUGCCCUUGGAGCAGAUUACUGAUUUCCCAACCUUUUGAAAAAUCAGUGGAAUACAUUAUUCUAACAAAAAUAUUAGGAUGAAGCUCAAAAUGUAAGAGAAAAGCAGAACUGCUGUGACUGAAGCCAGAAAAGGAGGGGGUGGAGUUUGUCUUGCUUGAUCCUCCCCUAACAAUCCCUAGAGGGGCUCCAAGGAAAGCCCUUUGAAAUUACUGACCUAGAAGAUAGAGAACAGAGUUCCAGGAUAUGUAUGAGGGGGGAUCUGAGAUCAUCCUGUCCAGGAGCCUGAGAAGUCAGGAAAGGUCUUUCAUGAGUCUCUUGACCAAACUGAUGGCUUUGCCUUGACAUCAGAGAAUGGGCCCCAUUUGGCCAGAGAAUCAAACUCCAAAAGACCAUGUGAUUGGUCUAAGUUAUGACACUAAAGUAUGAGCAUUUGGCUGCAGAAAGCCUGGGAGAGGCUGGAGAAGAGUCUAGGGCCUCCACAGUCCCAAAGGGGCUUUGCUAUGCCCUCAUUUGUAGUGCAGCUGUGUCAUUGGGUAGGGUCUGAAAAAUGGUGAUGGCAUCCAGAUAAAAUGUCAUACAACGUGGACCAGAAUCCAGGUAGCCCUGUGUAGGAAGAGAGACAUCACAGGCUGAGAUGGAGCCCAGAAAACAGAAAAGAGGUUUGUGCUGACAGUGGUGAUCUGAUCCUUCAUCUGCUCCACCUCUUGUUGCUUUUUCAGUUCAAGUUCAUGCCAUUGCCCAUGAAAUUUUUGGAUCCUCUUUUCCAGUGAGAAUCUCACAAAUUAAGAAAUUUUGAUAGCGUGUGGUGGCUCACACUCACAAUCCCAGAACUUUAGGUGGAUUGAUCACUU